AUGCUUACGACGCUGCGGAAGCCCCCCCGACAUUAUUUACGGUAAGUAGGUCACACUCGUAUCCUCAGAGUGAUGCUGUGGUUGCCAUGGAGACCCAAAGUCUCAGGCCUUCCAUCCGAAAAUGCUCCGUUUCGGUAAGAGGAGACGAGAACCAUACGGUGCAGCCUUCAGAUACGAGUUCCUCAAAAUACUCGAAUCUCAAAUGAUUUUACUGGCUAAAAUUGUACUCUAGAACAGAGCAUGUUGUUAGAAAUGACUGGAAUUAGUGAUGAGCUGCUGUCACCGUUAGCGCUGGUGAUGCUAACUUGAUGCGCACUCACAGGCCGGAUGUUGCGCGGGGACAAGCUACAGAUGCUACCGUCUCCUCCCUUCAUCAUCACCCCUCCAUCCUCACACAGUCACCCGGCCACUCGUUACAUCACAGUGUCAUGUCAAAGAAGCCAGAGAGGAAAUACUCACCAUAUUCCAGCGCAGCGUGUUUUGCAGCCUCAAGCCAUCCUUUUCUGUCUCAAUGUGUGUAUGAGGGAGGAGGGGGUGGAGGAUGCCGCCACCACCACCAUCAUCAUCAUCAAGGCAACACCAGCAGCGACACAAGCAGAAGGAGGCAGGAGGAGGACUGUCCAAUCAGCUUCCUUGUAACGUCUGCCAAUCAGGAAUGCCUUUAGAGAAGCCAGCGCUCGUCUGUUGUUUGACCUCCAGCCGCCAGGUGGCGCUAAUGUCAAGAGGUGACAUAUAAGCGCAACCGCGAAGGUGAAACGACCAUUUGGAUCCUGGGAACAGAGGAGGAAGAAGCAACUGCAAUGUGGAGACGAAUGUGAUCAUUCUAGAGUUAGCCAGGGAGAACAUCCUUCGGCAGCCAUUUUGUGAGUCAGUCAGGUGAAUUUCCAAUGGCGGCCAUUUUGUGAGUCAGGUGAACUACCUCAGGCGGGUGUGUUGGAAGCGUCCUAAGUCGGUCAGGGAGAACAUCCUUCGGCAGCCAUUUUGUGAAUCAGUCAGUGGACUUCCUCCCGCAGCUAUUUCGUAAGUCAGUCAGGUUUACAGCAAGUCAGCAUCUGAAAGCAUGAAAAUGAUGGUUAUUCUAAUUCAAUAAAGUACUUGAACUCUUCAA